rnacentral:rRNA from 1 species
UACGUAGGGUGCGAGCGUUAAUCGGAAUUACUGGGCGUAAAGCGUGCGCAGGCGGUCAUGCAAGACGGAUGUGAAAUCCCCGGGCUCAACCUGGGAACUGCAUUCGUGACUGCAUGACUGGAGUGUGGCAGAGGGGAAUGGAAUUCCGCGUGUAGCAGUGAAAUGCGUAGAUAUGCGGAGGAACACCGAUGGCGAAGGCAGUUCCCUGGGCCUGCACUGACGCUCAUGCACGAAAGCGUGGGGAGCAAACAGG